CCUACGGGAGGCAGCAGUGGGGAAUAUUGCACAAUGGGGGGAACCCUGAUGCAGCGACGCCGCGUGAGUGAAGAAGUAUUUCGGUAUGUAAAGCUCUAUCAGCAGGAACGAGACAAGACGGUACCUGACUAAGAAGCCCCGGCUAACUACGUGCCAGCAGCCGCGGUAAUACGUAGGGGGCAAGCGUUAUCCGGAAUCACUGGGUGUAAAGGGAGCGUAGACGGCUGAGCAAGCCUGAAGUGAAAGGCGGGGGCCCAACCCCGGACUGCUUUGGGAACUGUACGGCUGGAGUGCAGGAGAGGUAAGUGGAAUUCCUAGUGUAGCGGUUAAAGGCGUAGAUAUUAGGCGGAACACCAGUGGCGAAGGCGGCUUACUGGACUGUAACUGACGUUGAGGCUCGAAAGCGUGGGGAGCAAACAGGAUUAGAUACCCCUGUAGUC
rnacentral:rRNA from 1 species